AUGAACGCUAGCGACAGGCCUAACACAUGCAAGUCAGGGGCAGCACAAGGAGCAAUCUGAGGUGGCGACCGGCGCACGGGUGAGUAACACGUAUGCAACCUGCCUGUAAGCGGGGAAUAACCCGUUGAAAGACGGACUAAUACCGCAUAAUACUAAAUUACUGCAUGGUAAUUUAUUUAAACAUUUAUGGCUUACAGAUGGGCAUGCGCAUGAUUAGCUAGUUGGAGAGGUAACGGCUCCCCAAGGCAACGAUCAUUAGGGGUCUGAGAGGAAGGUCCCCCACACUGGUACUGAGACACGGACCAGACUCCUACGGGAGGCAGCAGUGAGGAAUAUUGGUCAAUGGACGAGAGUCUGAACCAGCCAAGUCGCGUGCAGGAAGAAUGUCCCUAUGGAUUGUAAACUGCUUUUGCAGGGGAAUAAAGUGCAUCACGUGUGAUGUUUUGUAUGUACUCUGCGAAUAAGGAUCGGCUAACUCCGUGCCAGCCGCGGC
rnacentral:rRNA from 1 species